rnacentral:tRNA from 1 species
GGAUUGUGGCUCAGAGGUAGAGCGCUUGCCUAGCAUGUGUGAGGGACUGGGUUCAAGCCUCAGCACCA